GCUCGGGCAAUUUUAUAAAGAAUGUGCUUUUUUUUAGCAGCUUGGAAUUUAAGACAAAUGCAUCCCCAAAACUGUUUCCUGGUUUCCUUCCACUCUCAAGGGUAGAUUUUCCUUUUAGUGCAGACAAUCAGAAAAUAUUAUGAACCUUCACAGGAACUUGGAAAUAUCUGAUGAUGCUCUCAUAUGAUGGCUCAGAUGCUCACUCUCAGUCUAAACAAAAUAUCUUCUGGGGAAAAAAAAAAAGACCACUGCUCUGCUAGGUCAUGGAUGACAGUAUGUGUUUCAAUAUCUUUUGAAAGAAAGAAGGGGAGGAGCUCUGAAGGUACCUUGCUGCAUUUGCAAUCAUAUAUGCAGCUCAUGACCCUGGCCAAGUGAAAAUUUAAAUGUAAG